rnacentral:piRNA from 1 species
GUGUGAUCAUGAAGCAGACUGAGCUGCCC